rnacentral:rRNA from 1 species
UACGUAGGUGGCAAGCGUUGUCCGGAGUGAUUGGGCGUAAAGCGCGCGCAGGCGGUGCGGUAAGUCCGUGGUGAAAGCGCCUGGCUUAACUAGGCGAGUGCCGGGGAGACUGCCGGACUGGAGGGGAGCAGAGGCGAGUGGAAUUCCGGGUGUAGUGGUGAAAUGCGUAGAGAUCCGGAGGAACACCAGUGGCGAAGGCGGCUCGCUGGGCUCUGUCCUGACGCUGAGGCGCGAAAGCGUGGGGAGCGAACCGG